CAAUGAUAUGGUUUAUAUUUAGAAUGUGUGCUCUGCAAGCACGAGGUGGGGGUUGUCCUAUUGUUGA
rnacentral:tRNA from 1 species